rnacentral:rRNA from 1 species
AGAACGAACGCUGGCGGCAUGCCUAACACAUGCAAGUCGAACGCUCACCGGGCUUCGGUUCGGUGGGAGUGGCGCACGGGUGAGUAGCGCGUGGGAACCUGCCCUGUUGUGGGGGAUAACCGAGGGAAACUUCGGCUAAUACCGCAUGCGCCCGGGGAAACCCGGGGAAAGAUUUAUCGCAGCAGGAGGGGCCCGCGUCGGAUUAGGUAGUUGGUAGGGUAACGGCCUACCAAGCCUUUGAUCCGUAGCUGGUCUGAGAGGAUGAUCAGCCACACUGGGACUGAGACACGGCCCAGACUCCUACGGGAGGCAGCAGUGGGGAAUAUUGGACAAUGGGCGCAAGCCUGAUCCAGCAAUGCCGCGUGAGUGAUGAAGGCCUUAGGUGUAAAGCUCUUUCGCCCGCGACGAUGAUGACGGUAGCGGGAGAAGAGCCCCGGCUAACUUCGUGCCAGCAGCCGC